rnacentral:rRNA from 1 species
UACGUAGGGUGCGAGCGUUGUCCGGAAUUACUGGGCGUAAAGAGCUUGUAGGUGGUUUGUCGCGUUGUUCGUGAAAUCUCACGGCUCAACUGUGAGCGUGCGGGCGAUACGGGCAGACUAGAGUACUGCAGGGGAGACUGGAAUUCCUGGUGUAGCGGUGGAAUGCGCAGAGUAUCAGGGAGGAACACCGGUGGCGAAGGCGGGUCUCUGGG